rnacentral:rRNA from 1 species
UACGGGGGGAGCAAGCGUUGUCCGGAAUUACUGGGCGUAAAGGGCGUGUAGGUGGACUGAUUAGUCAGGUGUGAAAGCCCGCGGCUUAACCGCGGAACUGCAUUUGAUACUGUCGGUCUUGAGUGCGAGAGAGGGUAGUGGAAUUCCCAGUGUAGCGGUGAAAUGCGUAGAGAUCUGGAGGAACAUCAAUGGCGAAGGCAACUCCCUGGCCAAAGACUGACGCUCAUGUGCGAAAGUGUGGGUAGCGAACAGG